GAGGGGAUGCCGGAGCGGUCAAACGGGACUGGCUCAAGACCAGUUGGCAUUUGCCUGCGGGGGUUCGAAUCCUCCUCCCCUCA
rnacentral:tRNA from 1 species